UUAAGCGACUAAGCGUACACGGUGGAUGCCCUGGCAGUCAGAGGCGAUGAAGGACGUGCUAAUCUGCGAAAAGCGUCGGUAAGGUGAUAUGAACCGUUAUAACCGGCGAUGUCCGAAUGGGGAAACCCAGUGUGUUCCGACACACUAUCAUUAACUGAAUCCAUAGGUUAAUGAGGCGAACCGGGGGAACUGAAACAUCUAAGUACCCCGAGGAAAAGAAAUCAACCGAGAUUCCCCCAGUAGCGGCGAGCGAACGGGGAGGAGCCCAGAGCCUGAAUCAGUGUGUGUGUUAGUGGAAGCGUCUGGAAAGGCGCGCGAUACAGGGUGACAGCCCCGUACACAAAAAUGCACAUGCUGUGAGCUCGAAGAGUAGGGCGGGACACGUGGUAUCCUGUCUGAAUAUGGGGGGACCAUCCUCCAAGGCUAAAUACUCCUGACUGACCGAUAGUGAACCAGUACCGUGAGGGAAAGGCGAAAAGAACCCCGGCGAGGGGAGUGAAAAAGAACCUGAAACCGUGUACGUACAAGCAGUGGGAGCCCUGAUUUAUCAGGGUGACUGCGUACCUUUUGUAUAAUGGGUCAGCGACUUAUAUUCUGUAGCAAGGUUAACCGAAUAGGGGAGCCGGAGGGAAACCGAGUCUUAACUGGGCGUUAAGUUGCAGGGUAUAGACCCGAAACCCGGUGAUCUAGCCAUGGGCAGGUUGAAGGUUGGGUAACACUAACUGGAGGACCGAACCGACUAAUGUUGAAAAAUUAGCGGAUGACUUGUGGCUGGGGGUGAAAGGCCAAUCAAACCGGGAGAUAGCUGGUUCUCCCCGAAAGCUAUUUAGGUAGCGCCUCGUGAAUUCAUCUCCGGGGGUAGAGCACUGUUUCGGCAAGGGGGUCAUCCCGACUUACCAACCCGAUGCAAACUGCGAAUACCGGAGAAUGUUAUCACGGGAGACACACGGCGGGUGCUAACGUCCGUCGUGAAGAGGGAAACAACCCAGACCGCCAGCUAAGGUCCCAAAGUCAUGGUUAAGUGGGAAACGAUGUGGGAAGGCCCAGACAGCCAGGAUGUUGGCUUAGAAGCAGCCAUCAUUUAAAGAAAGCGUAAUAGCUCACUGGUCGAGUCGGCCUGCGCGGAAGAUGUAACGGGGCUAAACCAUGCACCGAAGCUGCGGCAGCGACACUGUGUGUUGUUGGGUAGGGGAGCGUUCUGUAAGCCUGUGAAGGUGGCCUGUGAGGGUUGCUGGAGGUAUCAGAAGUGCGAAUGCUGACAUAAGUAACGAUAAAGCGGGUGAAAAGCCCGCUCGCCGGAAGACCAAGGGUUCCUGUCCAACGUUAAUCGGGGCAGGGUGAGUCGACCCCUAAGGCGAGGCCGAAAGGCGUAGUCGAUGGGAAACAGGUUAAUAUUCCUGUACUUGGUGUUACUGCGAAGGGGGGACGGAGAAGGCUAUGUUGGCCGGGCGACGGUUGUCCCGGUUUAAGCGUGUAGGCUGAUUUUCCAGGCAAAUCCGGAAAAUCAAGGCUGAGGCGUGAUGACGAGGCACUACGGUGCUGAAGCAACAAAUGCCCUGCUUCCAGGAAAAGCCUCUAAGCAUCAGGUAACAUCAAAUCGUACCCCAAACCGACACAGGUGGUCAGGUAGAGAAUACCAAGGCGCUUGAGAGAACUCGGGUGAAGGAACUAGGCAAAAUGGUGCCGUAACUUCGGGAGAAGGCACGCUGAUGGUAGGUGAAGCGACUUGCUCGUGGAGCUGAAAUCAGUCGAAGAUACCAGCUGGCUGCAACUGUUUAUUAAAAACACAGCACUGUGCAAACACGAAAGUGGACGUAUACGGUGUGACGCCUGCCCGGUGCCGGAAGGUUAAUUGAUGGGGUCAGCGCAAGCGAAGCUCUUGAUCGAAGCCCCGGUAAACGGCGGCCGUAACUAUAACGGUCCUAAGGUAGCGAAAUUCCUUGUCGGGUAAGUUCCGACCUGCACGAAUGGCGUAAUGAUGGCCAGGCUGUCUCCACCCGAGACUCAGUGAAAUUGAACUCGCUGUGAAGAUGCAGUGUACCCGCGGCAAGACGGAAAGACCCCGUGAACCUUUACUAUAGCUUGACACUGAACACUGGUCCUUGAUGUGUAGGAUAGGUGGGAGGCUUUGAAGUGUGGACGCCAGUCUGCAUGGAGCCGUCCUUGAAAUACCACCCUUUAAUGGCUGGUGUUCUAACGUUGGCCCCUUACCGGGGUUGCGGACAGUGUCUGGUGGGUAGUUUGACUGGGGCGGUCUCCUCCUAAAGAGUAACGGAGGAGCACGAAGGUUGGCUAAUCCUGGUCGGACAUCAGGAGGUUAGUGCAAUGGCAUAAGCCAGCUUGACUGCGAGCGUGACGGCGCGAGCAGGUGCGAAAGCAGGUCAUAGUGAUCCGGUGGUUCUGAAUGGAAGGGCCAUCGCUCAACGGAUAAAAGGUACUCCGGGGAUAACAGGCUGAUACCGCCCAAGAGUUCAUAUCGACGGCGGUGUUUGGCACCUCGAUGUCGGCUCAUCACAUCCUGGGGCUGAAGUAGGUCCCAAGGGUAUGGCUGUUCGCCAUUUAAAGUGGUACGCGAGCUGGGUUUAGAACGUCGUGAGACAGUUCGGUCCCUAUCUGCCGUGGGCGCUGGAGAACUGAGGGGGGCUGCUCCUAGUACGAGAGGACCGGAGUGGACGCAUCACUGGUGUUCGGGUUGUCAUGCCAAUGGCACUGCCCGGUAGCUAAAUGCGGAAGAGAUAAGUGCUGAAAGCAUCUAAGCACGAAACUUGCCCCGAGAUGAGUUCUCCCUGAGACAUUAAGUCUCCUGAAGGAACGUUGAAGACGACGACGUUGAUAGGCCGGGUGUGUAAGCGCAGCGAUGCGUUGAGCUAACCGGUACUAAUGAACCGUGAGGCUUAACCUU
rnacentral:rRNA from 1 species